AGGGCAGCGAUGGAGCUCCCUUCGAUUCAAAGAGAGGGUGGGAAGAAGGUGAAAGGAAGUGCUGCGAGUUCAUGAAUACCUAUGGGGUGCCGCUCUGCCACCAUGGCCGCCGCACCUUCCAAAGGUUUGCAUGCGCUCGGAGCUGUUCUAACCUUCUCUUUUCCUUUAUUGGAUUGAAGGGAGCUCCUCUUAAUAACCCU
rfam:Cucumis sativus cultivar 9930 chromosome 3, whole genome shotgun sequence.